UACGUAGGGGGCAAGCGUUGUCCGGAUUUAUUGGGCGUAAAGAGCGUGUAGGCGGCCUGACAGGUCUGCUGUGAAAACUCGAGGCUCAACCUCGAGAUGUCGGCGGAAACCGUCUGGCUAGAGUCCGGAAGAGGAGAGUGGAAUUCCUGGUGUAGCGGUGAAAUGCGCAGAUAUCAGGAAGAACACCUAUGGCGAAGGCAGCUCGCUGGGACGGUACUGACACUGAGACGCGAAAGCGUGGGGAGCAAACAGG
rnacentral:rRNA from 1 species